UACAGGGGGUGCAAACGUUGCUCGGAAUCAUUGGGCGUAAAGCGCACGUAGGCGGUUCGUUAUGUCGGAUGUGAAAGCCCUUGGCUUAACCGAGGAAGUGCAUCCGAAACUGGCGAGCUAGAGUACUAAAGAGGAUCGCGGAAUUCCCGGUGUAGAGGUGAAAUUCGUAGAUAUCGGGAGGAACACCGGUGGCGAAGGCGGGGUCUCUGGGCAGUAACUGACGCUGAGGAGCGAAAGCGUGGGGAGCGAAACAGG
rnacentral:rRNA from 1 species